CCUACGGGAGGCAGCAGUGGGGAAUAUUGGGCAAUGGGCGCAAGCCUGACCCAGCAACGCCGCGUGAAGGAAGAAGGCUCUCGGGUUGUAAACUUCUUUUCUCAGGGACGCAGCAAGUGACGGUACCUGCGGACUAAGCCACGGCUAACUACGGGCCAGCAGCCGCGGUAAUACGUAGGUGGCAAGCGUUAUCCGGAUUUACUGGGUGUAACGGGCGUGUAGGCGGGAAAGCAAGUCAGAUGUGAAAACCAUGGGGUCAACCUGCGGCCUGCAUUUGAAACUGUUGUUCUUGAGUAAUGGAGAGGCAGACGGAAUGCGUGGUGUAGCGGUGAAAUGCGUAGAUAUUAGGCAGAACCCCAGUGGCGAAGGCAGUCUGCUGGACAGCAACUGACGCUGAGGCGCGAAAGCGUGGGGAGCGAACAGGAUUAGAUACCCCAGUAGUC
rnacentral:rRNA from 1 species